rnacentral:rRNA from 1 species
UACAGAGGGUGCGAGCGUUGUCCGGAAUCACUGGGCGUAAAGGGCGCGUAGGUGGUGGCUUAAGCGUGCGGUGAAGGCUCGGGGCUCAACCCCGAGUCGGCCGUGCGAACUGGGCUCACUGGAGCAUAGUAGAGGCAGGUGGAAUUCCGGGUGUAGCGGUGGAAUGCGUAGAGAUCGGAAAGAACACCAACGGCGAAAGCACUCUGCUGGGCCGACACUGACACUGAGAGACGAAAGCUAGGGGAGCGAAUGGG